CAUUAAAGUCCACUUUACAUCAACAAUAAAUUGGACAAGAAAUUGACCAAGUUAUUCAAGGCCAAAUUUGACGUGUAAAAGCACACUUUGACAUCUAAGUUUGUUCGUUAUAAACUUCACGUGAAGAAAUUGACGAAAAAGAAAAUUGUUCUAUUUUUUCAUUUUAUUCGGCGUGAAUUCAGUGUCACCAACCUGUGUCCAUUUGGCGGGAAGUGGAAGUAGAGCUUUUUGUUUAUUAUUAUUUGUUGAGGUUGAGUCUUUCAUGUUCAUGACAACCUAAAAAUUUUGAUUGGAAAAUGCAUAUAAGAUAAGGGGGUGGAAAAAUGGAAAUUAGUGGCUUUUUUUUGCAGUUCUGUCUGUUAGUUUUGCGUUUUGCUCUGGCUGGGUCUCUUUUGUUUAAACAAUUAUAAUCAGUUGAAAGUGGUCUACAAAACAACCAGGAAGGAAACGUAUUAUAACCUUGUUGUGGCUAUGAAAGGCAAAAGAAAGAUACCUAUAAAAAGUGUAUUGACUAGUUGGAAGAAACUCCACAUUGUCGAUGCAUAAUAAGAUAUUACUUUAUAAACAAAUAUCAAGACCUAGGAAUGGAACCUGGAUAAUAUAGUCAUCAAGAAGAUAGCAGGAAGUCAUGAGCAACAACAACUUCAUAAGUAUGAGAAUAUUGAGGAAAUCCAGCUCCUCAUAUCUACUACUGGACAAACUAGAAGAUUGAAGAGGACAAAGCCUUUUGAACUAGUUUGAGUGAUAGGUGAUAGUGAAAAGCAGAGCGUAGUGCUUGUGUGCCUGUGUAUGUUAGAAUAGUGCACGAUCUUGUUAGAUUAGAUAAGAGACGCUAUGGGGUAAGCUCUUCAUUUUAAGGAACAGUAGUAAUUUAGGUUAAAUUAAAAUUGCUCAUUGGUCAGUUAUGACCAGAUUGUAAUUCUCUGAUGUUUGGCAAAAAGGGCUUAAGUCAGAAUUGCACAUCAAUAAUGUUUUGAUGAUUUCUGGACCAUAAAAAAAGUGUUGCAGACUUAAACUGUAUGUACCAAUAAAAAGAGCCGAUUUUUCUGGUCCAGAAAUCAUCAAAACAUUAUCGAUGUGCAAUUCUGACUUAAGCCCUUUUUCCCAAACAUCAGAGAAUUGCAAUGUACAAUUCAAUACAAAUGAAUCAUCAUCGUAGUGAUGAUUAUGGAAAAAAAUAUAUGACAAGAUUUUGUGCAAUAAAAAUAUUUAUAUUUAUCAAGGAUGUAUUAUUUGGUAUGGCCACAUAUACUUCUGGUAUAUUGUCGGUGAUGUGACAAUACCUCCUAUCUGCUUUUUCAUGAAUUUUGUAGGAGACGAAAAACCAUUUUUAGGGUCAUCUCUGUUUUCACAUGUAAAUUUUGACAUGUUUUGUAGUAAAUAGAUAAUUGAAUUUACUACAAAACAUGUCAAAAAAUAUCAUGUGAAAACAGGAGGUGACUGUAAAAAAGUUUUUAGUCUCUCUUACAAAACGGUUAACAGAGGUGACAGUUAAUAGAGAGACAGAUAAUUAAGGUUCCACUGUAUAGUGAAAUUUGGACACCCGACACCCCAUACAAAUUUUAUGGGGGUUUUGUUCGUUUAAACCCCCCCAAACUUUUGUGUAAGUUACAAUUGAAUUAUUAUUGUGGUACUGUUAAACACAAUGUUUUUAAAACUUUUUUGCCUCUUAGUACUUUUUUGAAGUCAGUUUUUAUCAUGAUAUUUUGAAUAUUUGUCAAAUCCACCACAUAUUUGUAUAUGGUUAAGUACGAUUGUAGAGACUAAUAAUAUGAAAAUUUAUUAAUGAUUUACAUUUUUAGGUAUAUUUUGAACCAUUUUAAAAAGAAGCCAUAUCUUGAUAAAGAGAGCUUUAUCGAAAAAAUAGAAAGAGGUAAAAAAGUUUUAAAAACACAGUGUUUAACUAAUGGUACCGCAGAAAUAAUUUAAUUGGAACGUACCCAAAAGUUUGGGGGGGUUAAAGGGAACAAAACCCCCAUAACAUUUUUAUGGGGUGCACAAAUUUCACUAUAAUUUUUCUUUAAGAUGUUACUGCAAUAAUAUUGCUUCAUGUCCAUUUUCAAUAAAAAAUCUUUAAUAGUUUUCGAUAUAUUCGAAAAAAUCAAUUUUUAUUUUGUAUGUUCAAAGGGCUGUAACUUUUUUUGUGUGCAUAUUUGUACUAAGGUAAGUUAGGUUCAUUCAAAUUAUUUUUGGUCCCAGAAUAUGUGAUUUAAUUUACGACCAAUCUUUUCGGGACACCCUGUAUAAUAAAUGGGAUUAGCUGGCUUAAAAAUUCAUAAUCUACGUUCUGUAGAAAAUAUCCAGUUUUUGGUUUCUUUUUAACUAGAUCUUAAUAUCUAACCAAGCAUUUUAAGACCUUUUUAUUAAUUUUUCGAUGAUAUAUUCGUGUUUUUAGUUUGUUCAAAAUAUUCUAGA
rnacentral:lncRNA from 1 species